GACCCAUUAGCUCAGUUUUAGAGCGUCGUGCUAAUAACGCGAAGGUCGUGGGUUCGAUCCCCCCAUGGGCCA
rnacentral:tRNA from 13 species